rnacentral:ribozyme from 1 species
UCUCGAGCAAGCAAAAAUAGCCGGAACUAUGGGAAGAGACACCAUGCUCGCAAGGAAGGCACGAUGAAAUAAGGGCAUAAUCUCUUCCAGGCAUGAAUCGAAUCUGUCUCUAACAGAAGAAGGCAUCCUUGAUAGCAAGCGAGAGAAUAUGGGCGAUGAUAGGUUCCCCAGAUAUAUCAUCCCUGACAGAACCCGCCUCAUUCUCCAUCUG